ACCCCUAAUCUAGGAAUGGCGACACACUUUCAUAUAUGAAUUCCAAAACUAUUCCGCAACAGCAUGUGAUCUCCUCUACUGCUCUUGAACACUUCCAUCAAAAUCUGCAACAGAAGUAAGCAAGCCUGCAAGAUCAAAGCACAAGACCAGUUACCAACAAGCUCAAGCACGAAAAACAGAUCAAAUCAACAACUCAACUAUUUCAAACAAAGUUUCGUACUUU